GUGUAAAUGAUGUAAUUUAACUACUUAUGAAUUUUAUUGAUGUCUUAAAAUUCGAGCCUUUUAAAACUGAUGCACA
rfam:Picea glauca, whole genome shotgun sequence.